GUUUCUUCACUUUUGUUCCUGUAAUUACACAUGAAAAAUUAAAUGUAGAUAUAAUAAUAUAUCACAGGUUGUUUAUGGAAUAACCUUUUACACAAAGGUAUAAUGUUACGUGGUUAGAGGCGGGUAGCCUAGUGGUCAGAGUCAGGGUAGCCUAGUGGUUAGAGUCAGGGUAGCCUAGUGGUUAGAGGCAGGGUAGCCUAGUGGUUAGAGGCAGGGUAGCCUAGUGGUUAGAGGCAGGGUGACCUAGUGGUUAGAGACAGGGUAGCCUAGUGGUUAGAGGCAGGGUAGCCUAGUGGUUAGAGACAGGGUAGCCUAGUGGUUAGAGACAGGGUAGCCUAGUGGUUAGAGACAGGGUAGCCUAGUGGUUAGAGACAGGGUAGCCUAGUGGUUAGAGACAGGGUAGCCUAGUGGUUAGAGACAGGGUAGCCUAGUGGUUAGAGACAGGGUAGCCUAGUGGUUAGAGGCAGGGUAGCCUAGUGGUUAGAGACAGGGUAGCCUAGUGGUUAGAGGCAGGGUAGCCUAGUGGUUAGAGGCAGGUAGCCUAGUGGUUAGAGGCAGGUAGCCUAGUGGUUAGAGGCAGGGUAGCCUAGUGGUUAGAGACAGGGUAGCCUAGUGGUUAGAGGCAGGUAGCCUAGUGGUUAGAGACAGGGUAGCCUAGUGGUUAGAGGCAGGGUAGCCUAGUGGUUAGAGGCAGGUAGCCUAGUGGUUAGAGGCAGGUAGCCUAGUGGUUAGAGGCAGGUAGCCUAGUGGUUAGAGGCAGGGUAGCCUAGUGGUUAGAGACAGGGUAGCCUAGUGGUUAGAGGCAGGUAGCCUAGUGGUUAGAGGCAGGGUAGCCUAGUGGUUAGAGGCAGGGUAGCCUAGUGGUUAGAGGCAGGGUAGCCUAGUGGUUAGAGGCAGGGUAGCCUAGUGGUUAGAGGCAGGGUAGCCUAGUGGUUAGAGACAGGGUAGCCUAGUGGUUAGAGACAGUACUAGAUUGGAGUCUUGUCAGGUAGGGGAAGGUUUAGUACUAGAUUGGAGGCUUGUCAGGUGGGGGAAGGUUUAGUACUAGAUUGGAGGCUUGUCAGGUGGGGGAAGGUUUAGUACUAGAUUGGAGGGCUUGUCAGGUAGGGGAAGGUUUAGUACUAGAUUGGAGGCUUGUCAGGUGGGGGAAGGUUUAGUACUAGAUUGGAGGCUUGUCAGGUAGGGGAAGGUUUAGUACUAGAUUGGAGGCUUGUCAGGUAGGGGAAGGUUUAGUACUAGAUUGGAGGGCUUGUCAGGUAGGGGAAGGUUUAGUACUAGAUUGGAGGCUUGUCAGGUAGGGGAAGGUUUAGUACUAGAUUGGAGGGCUUGUCAGGUAGGGGAAGGUUUAACUACCAAAACAGGAUUAAAGGAACUAGAAUCACAGCAAACCAAAUACAUGAUAACCCAUAAAUCAAAACUUGGGUUUAAUAUCGUUCAAAACGUCUCUUCAGCACUCCAAUGGCAUUAACAACAGCCGUAAAUGUUUCAAACUUCAGUUAGUCGUCUUGCCUGGGUUGAGACUUGAGAAAGGAGCAGUGUUUUAGUGUCAUCUUGUGACCCAAAUGGCUCCCCAUGGGCCCUGGUUUAUAGUUGUGCACUAGAAACGGGAAUAGGUUACCAUAGUGACUUGGGGGCUGGGGGGCAAGUUGUCACCAGGGGCAAUAGAUAUGGACGGGGCUAGACGAGAGAACAGGUUGAGACAUGUUUCCUGGAGAUUUAAAUGAAAAGUCGUCUCCCUGGCAACCACUACCCACUCGCUCUCUUGUCGACGGAGUCAACAACAAACCUCUC